GGGGAAUAUCGGACAAUGGGCGAAAGCCUGAUCCAGCCAUGCCGCGUGAGUGAUGAGGGCCUUAGGGUUGUAAAGCUCUUUCAGUAGGGAAGAUAAUGACGGUACCUACAGAAGAAGCCCCGGCUAACUUCGUGCCAGCAGCCGCGGUAAUACGAAGGGGGCUAGCGUUGUUCGGAUUUACUGGGCGUAAAGCGCACGUAGGCGGAUCGUUAAGUCGGGGGUGAAAUCCUGGAGCUCAACUCCAGAACUGCCUUCGAUACUGGCGAUCUUGAGUCCGGAAGAGGUGAGUGGAACUCCUAGUGUAGAGGUGGAAUUCGUAGAUAUUAGGAAGAACACCAGUGGCGAAGGCGGCUCACUGGUCCGGUACUGACGCUGAGGUGCGAAAGCGUGGGGAGCAAAC
rnacentral:rRNA from 1 species